rnacentral:rRNA from 1 species
AUUCCAGCUCCAAUAGCGUAUAUUUAAGUUGUUGCAGUUAAAAAGCUCGUAGUUGGAUUUCGGGUGUCACUUGCCGGUCCGCCGUUUCGGUGUGCACUGGCGGGCGUCAUCUUUCUGUCGAGGACGCGCUCCUGUCCUUUACUGGGUGGGACGCGGAGUCGGCGAGGUUACUUUGAAAAAAUUAGAGUGUUCAAAGCGGGCUUACGCUUGAAUAUAUUAGCAUGGAAUAACACUAUAGGACUCCUGUCCUAUUUUGUUGGUCUUCGGGACGGGAGUAAUGAUUAAGAGGAACAGUUGGGGGCAUUCGUAUUUCAUUGUCAGAGGUGAAAUUCUUGGAUUUAUGAAAGACGAACUUCUGCGAAAGCAUUUGCCAAGGAUGUUUUCAUCA